rnacentral:sRNA from 1 species
UAACCACGUGGCCGUGGGUUCGAUCCCCACAGACGGCGUAAAAACUCUUUUAAGUUUUUUGGGUCCUCUGAUGGUUCUUUAUACA